AGCGUAUAUUAAAGUUGUUGCAGUUAAAAAGCUCGUAAUUGAAUUUCGGGAUCAAUUAGUCGGUCGUGCCUCUGGUACGUACUGGUUUUAUUGGUUCCUCCCUUCUGACGAAACAUGAUGUCAUUAAUUUGGUGUCGUGGAGAAUCAGGACUGUUACCUUGAAAAAAUUAGAGUGUUUAUAGCAGGCUAACGCUUGAAUACAUUAGCAUGGAAUAAUGAAAUAGGACGUUCGACCCUAUUUUGUUGGUUUCUAGGAUCGACGUAAUGAUUAAUAGGGAUAGUUGGGGGCAUUAGUAUUCAAUUGUCAGAGGUGAAAUUCUUGGAUUUAUUGAAGACUAACUACUGCGAAAGCAUUUGCCAAGGAUGUUUUCAUUAAUCAAGAACGAAAGUUAGGGGAUCGAAGACGAUCAGAUACCGUCGUAGUCUUAACCAUAAACUAUGCCGACUAGGGAUCGGAUGAUGUUAAUUUUUUAAUGACUCAUUC
rnacentral:rRNA from 1 species